rnacentral:rRNA from 1 species
UACGUAGGGGGCAAGCGUUGUCCGGAAUCACUGGGCGUAAAGCGUGCGUAGGUGGCGUGUUAAGUGUGAUGUUAAAUCGCGGGGCUCAACCCUGUCGGUGCAUCGCAUACUGGCAUGCUAGAGGGAAGCAGAGGCAAGUGGAAUUUGUAGUGUAGCAGUGAAAUGCGUAGAUAUUACAAGGAACACCAAUGGCGAAGGCAGCUUGCUGGGCUUCUUCUGACACUGAGGUACGAAAGCGUGGGGAGCGAACAGG